UACAGAGGGGGGCAAGCGUUUGUUCGGAAUUACUGGGCGUAAAGGGCGCGUAGGCGCCUUCUAAGUCGAACGUGAAAUCCCCGGGCUCAACCCGGGAACUGCGUCCGAUACUGGAAGGCUUGAAUCCGGGAGAGGGAUGCGGAAUUCCAGGUGUAGCGGUGAAAUGCGCAGAUAUCGGGAGGAACACCGGUGGCGAAGGCGGUUCUCUGGGCCUU
rnacentral:rRNA from 1 species